AUUAAAAUAAGAUGGGGCAAACCGGAGGUGAGAGAGAAGUUCUGUCGGGAAAUUCAGAGCGAGGGCGGAAGAAAACUCAUCUUUGCCUACAAUGCCUACUUCAGCCGGAUGUCAACAUGCAGGGCUCCAUACCAGCAUUCUGAUAGAUUCUGAGCUACAAGAUUCCAGAAUAUUAGCAGCUGAGCUCCUCCCCAGCCCGGCCAAAUAUGCCACAACAAGGCCGUUUCCCAGGUGAUGUAUGGUAGGUCAGAACCCUAAUCAAGCGCCAAUUCAAUUUAACUGCUGCUGAUUUCAGCACAGUGCUCUGAGCUUCCAUUUAAAUGCAAGGGGAAUUGACUUUCGAGGUAACAGCUUCAGGGGAUGCUUUCUUCCCUCAGCUAGACAGAGCAGUAGCUCACACUGUGCACCUGGCAAUGAACUGGGACCCUUUUGGAGGUACAUGACUUAGACUUCUGGAUUCUGUCAGGAGGCAGACAGGAGGGAGACUAGGAGCAAGGACCACAGAAGGGCCAAGGUACCCCUGGCACCCCUAGAUCCCAAAAUACAAAGAGCCACCAGCACCAUCAGCACACACACACUCUCUCUCUCUCUCUCUGCCCCUUGGUCUCUCUCUGUCUCUUCCAUUCUGUAUCUCUUUCACUCUGUGUGCCUCUACCUCUUGUCCUCUCUAUUUCUUUUUUUCAAAGAUGGGGUUUCACCAUGAUGGUCAGGCUGGUCUUGAACUCCCGACCUCAGGUGAUCCGCCCACCUUGGCCUCCAAAGUGCUUGGAUUACAGGCAUGAGCCACCAUGCCCCGCCCCUCUCUCUCUAUUUCUAUCUCUUGGUGUCUCUCUCUUUCUGUCUCUGUAUAUUUCUCUGUCUCUGUGUCUGUGUCUCUAUUUCUCUGUCUCGGCAUCUCCAUCUCUCUCUUUCCACAUCACUCUCUCCCUCUCCCUCAGUAUCUCUGUCUUUCUCUCUGUCUCUGUCUCCUCCCAAGGGGGAGGAGCUCAACUGCUAAUAUUCUGGAAGCCUGUAGCUCAGAAUCUAUCAGAACAUUGGUGUGGAUGAUGACUCCUUUGUGAUGCUAUCUGGCUGGACUGGGCGUUGCAGGCAAAGGAGAGACAUUGAUUGAUUGAUGCAUGUUAAAAGGCAAAGUCCAGAAUGUGAAAUAACUAUGAACAAGACACCCAAGAAAGAAGAGACAGCCGAGUUUAUCAUGUGGGGAGGGACCAUGAUGGUAAGACGAGUUCAGAUGUGGAGGUGCCCAUGAAACAGUCACAUGGAGAUG